AUUGAACGCUGGCGGCAGGCUUAACACAUGCAAGUCGAACGCCCCGCAAGGGGAGUGGCAGACGGGUGAGUAACGCGUGGGAAUCUACCUAGUUCUACGGAACAACUGAGGGAAACUUCAGCUAAUACCGUAUACGCCCUAUGGGGGAAAGAUUUAUCGGAAUUAGAUGAGCCCGCGUAAGAUUAGCUAGUUGGUGAGGUAAUGGCUCACCAAGGCGACGAUCUUUAGCUGGUCUGAGAGGAUGAUCAGCCACACUGGGACUGAGACACGGCCCAGACUCCUACGGGAGGCAGCAGUGGGGAAUAUUGGACAAUGGGCGCAAGCCUGAUCCAGCCAUGCCGCGUGAGUGAUGAAGGCCUUAGGGUUGUAAAGCUCUUUCAGUAGGGAAGAUAAUGACGGUACCUACAGAAGAAGCCCCGGCUAACUUCGUGCCAGCCGCCGCGGUAACAC
rnacentral:rRNA from 1 species